GACGAACGCUGGCGGCGUGCUUAACACAUGCAAGUCGAACGGAAAGGCCCUGCUUUUGUGGGGUGCUCGAGUGGCGAACGGGUGAGUAACACGUGAGUAACCUGCCCUUGACUUUGGGAUAACUUCAGGAAACUGGGGCUAAUACCGGAUAGGAGCUCCUGCUGCAUGGUGGGGGUUGGAAAGUUUCGGCGGUUGGGGAUGGACUCGCGGCUUAUCAGCUUGUUGGUGGGGUAGUGGCUUACCAAGGCUUUGACGGGUAGCCGGCCUGGGAGGGUGACCGGCCACAUUGGGCCGGAGAUACGGCCCAGACUCCUACGGGAGGCAGCAGUGGGGAAUAUUGCACAAUGGGCGGAAGCCUGAUGCAGCAACGCCGCGUGCGGGAUGACGGCCUUCGGGUUGUAAACCGCUUUCGCCUGUGACGAAGCGUGAGUGACGGUAAUGGGUAAAGAAGCACCGGCUAACUACGUG
rnacentral:rRNA from 1 species